rnacentral:rRNA from 1 species
UGGGGAAUCUUAGACAAUGGGGGAAACCCUGAUCUAGCCAUGCCGCGUGAGCGAUGAAGGCCUUAGGGUUGUAAAGCUCUUUCAGCUGGGAAGAUAAUGACGGUACCAGCAGAAGAAGCCCCGGCUAACUCCGUGCCAGCAGCCGCGGUAAUACGGAGGGGGCUAGCGUUGUUCGGAAUUACUGGGCGUAAAGCGCACGUAGGCGGAUUAGUCAGUCAGAGGUGAAAUCCCAGGGCUCAACCCUGGAACUGCCUUUGAUACUGCUAGUCUUGAGGUCGAGAGAGGUGAGUGGAAUUCCCGAGUGUAGAGGUGAAAUUCGUAGAUAUUCGGAGGAACACCAGUGGCGAAGGCGGCUCACUGGCUCGAUACUGACGCUGAGGUGCGAAAGCGUGGGGAGCAAACAGGAUUAGAUACCCCUGGUAGUCCACGCCGUAAACGAUGAAUGCCAGUCGUCGGGUUGCAUGCAAUUCGGUGACACACCCUAAACGGGAUUAAAGCAUUCCGCCUGGGGAGUACGGUCGCAAGAUUAAAACUUAAAUGAAUUGACGGGGUCAUAGCUGUUUCCUG